CACCGCCGGGUGUGACCCAAAAACCAAAAAAAAAAAAAAAAAAAAAGAAAGAGGAGGUACAGUAAAGGCACCCCAUAUACACCUCAACACAGGCCCCUUGCCGGGUAUGUAUUGUGAAUUGGGGGACAAAA